UCAGAUGGUCGGAUGGCCGCUGGCGUUUUGGCGCUGGAGGAAAGUCCGGGCUCCACGGAAACACGGUGCCGGGUAACGCCCGGCGGGGGCGACCCCAGGGAAAGUGCCACAGAAAGCAAACCGCCCGCGCCAAGGCCUCGGCCGCGCCGCGGGUAAGGGUGAAAGGGUGCGGUAAGAGCGCACCGCGGGCGCGGUAACGAGCCCGGCACGGUAAACCCCACCGGGAGCAAGACCAUGUAGGGACGGCCGGCACGGUGGCCUCGGCCACGCGUGCGAGCGGGUUUUCGCGUCAGUCGUCCGGGUCGGUCGCGCGAGGCGGUCGGUAACGACCGUCCCAGAGGAAUGGCCAUCGACGGCGGUUCGCCGCCCGAACAGAACCCGGCUUAUAGACCGUCUGAUCCG
rnacentral:RNase_P_RNA from 2 species